GAUGACAUCUGAAAAACCAUAAUCAUUCCAUCGAUAGAUUGUGUACAUCGAGUCAAGGGGUGUGGGGCCAGAGUCAUCAAAAUCCAAGUCUCCAUCCGCUUCAAUUUUGUGAAUACAAAUAACCAGUCUGAAUACAAAACAUGCCUAGCCAGACUCCAACACGUAGCAGAAAUAGGGACUCAAGAAAUACUGCUCAAGUCGGACUUAAAAGUAGUGAUUUCUCAAAUAAAUAGGGAAUACAAGGCUAUGGGUCAAAAGAUGCAAAGAUAUUUGUGCCUCGUUAAAUAAAUCAUCUGAAGAUUCAAGUUGGUAAGGCUCAGACACAUUCCACGAGAGAAUAACCUAAAGGCUGACAAAUUCUCUAAGAUAGCAAGUUCUAAAAGGAAAAGUGAAAACAAGAUAGUUAUACAUGAGACUUUGUCGAAUCCUAUCCUAGAUGGUUUCAUAGCAGAGGUCUGCAAAGAGGACCACCAUGGUAUAAUGUGGCUGCCUGCAUCAAAUGACAAUCAUGUUCUUUUUUUAUUAAGGGACAACUGUACCAAAGAGGACGCUCCAAAACAUUGUUUAAAUGCUUGAUAAAGGAAGGAGGUAACAAUGUCCUCGAGGAAACACAUGGAGGAAUAGUCGUGAGAGACUUGGGUGUAUGACCUUAGGCAACGAAAUACUUAUCAGCCGGUUAUUAGUGGCAUGAACACAAAUUCUAAAGAAUAUGCUAAGACAUGUGACAAAUGCCAAAAACAUGGAGAUAUGCAUGUAGCACCCCCGAUUGAACUGAACAUAGUGUUAUCUCCAUGACCAUUCUCAUAUUGGGGGAUGAACAUCCUCAUACCUUUAAGUGUGCUUGAUUUGGAGUAGUCUUUGGAUGGGUGACCUUUUGAAAAAUUUCCCAGAAAACAUGUGAGUGAGGACAAAACACGUCUAAAAGACUGGUGUUGGUUUAUAACGUUAUUCGAUAAUGCUUAAAGCAGUCUGGAAUAUUACAGGUAAUGCCUCCAUAGUAGGGUCG
rnacentral:lncRNA from 1 species